UGGGGAAUUUUGGACAAUGGGCGCAAGCCUGAUCCAGCCAUGCCGCGUGAGUGAAGAAGGCCUUCGGUUGUAAGCUCUUUCGGCCGGGAAGAAAUCGUGUUCUCUAACAUAGGACAUGGAUGACGGUACCGGACUAAGAAGCACCGGCUAACUACGUGCC
rnacentral:rRNA from 1 species